rnacentral:rRNA from 1 species
GAUGAACGCUGGCGGCAUGCCUAAUACAUGCAAGUCGAGCGAAAGGCCGAGACUUUCUCCUGUCUGAUGUUACCGACGGGUGGGUGAGUCAUAUGUAGCUAACCUAUCUCUAGGGCUGAGCUUCCCUCGGGAAACCUGAACCCCUACCGGAAUAUCAUCUGAACAGCAUGGUUCAAAAGUGUAUGACUGUCUUGAUGAUACUCAUACGUAGAUCCGGGCUGCUUUAGCUAGUUGGUACGGUCACGGCUUACCUAGGCAACGAUGCGUAGCGGACCUGAGAGGGGGAGCGGGCACACUGGAACUGAGACACGGUCCAGACCCCAACGGGAGGCAGCAGUAGGGAAUCUUCCACAAGGGGCGAAGGCCUGACGGAGCAACGCCGCGUGGGUGAUGAAGGGCUUCGGAUCGGAAAACUCUGUUAUUAGUGAAGAAGAAAAGUGUAAGUAACGGUUAACUUCUUGACGGUACCGAAAGAAAAAGCCACGGCUAACUACGUG